rfam:Paludibacter sp. SCN 50-10 ABS72_C0020, whole genome shotgun sequence.
UACCUUUGCACUUGCAUUGGUUCUCCUGUAGCAUUCGCUUCCGGAGAUUAAAAGGGAAUCAGGUGUAAGUCCUGAACAGUCCCGCUGCUGUAAGCUCUUGGUUUCAAACGAAACUGAAGUCGUGAACACAACUCAAUCCACUGUUCCGUGUACCGGAAUGGGAAGGAGGUUCAACGAUGGAGUAAGUCAGAAGACCUGCCAUGCUUGAUUUAGUUUU